rnacentral:piRNA from 1 species
UUUCACGGUGGCAACGUCAGAAGACGUGAUUU